UAAGGAAUAUUGGUCAAUGGACGCAAGUCUGAACCAGCCAUGCCGCGUGAAGGAUGAAGGUCCUCUGGAUUGUAAACUUCUUUUAUAUGGGACGAAACCCUCGGAUUCCUCCGGGAUUGACGGUACCAUAGGAAUAAGCACCGGCUAACUCCGUGCCAGCAGCCGCGGUAAUACGGAGGGUGCAAGCGUUAUCCGGAUUCACUGGGUUUAAAGGGUGCGUAGGAGGGCAGGUAAGUCAGUGGUGAAAUCCCCAAGCUUAACUUGGGAACUGCCGUUGAUACUAUCUGUCUUGAAUACCGUGGAGGUGAGCGGAAUAUGUCAUGUAGCGGUGAAAUGCUUAGAUAUGACAUAGAACACCAAUUGCGAAGGCAGCUCGCUACACGAAUAUUGACUCUGAGGCACGAAAGCGUGGGGAUCAAACA
rnacentral:rRNA from 1 species